UGUUUGCGUACUUGUGUUUCGAGUUGCGUGGUCGUGCGGAGUUAUAUUUACCAAAUUUAAAUAUAAUCGUUUUCAAAAUUAAAUCAAUAUGGCUACUGGGUGUAAAAGAUAAAUCUUAUUCUAUCUGUUCUUAAUGAGUUUUAGAUAAUUUUAGUUGUAUUUCUUUGUAAUUUUGUGUUGUACAAAGAUUAAUUUAACAUUUUCUCUGGAAGUAUUAAUUUAGAAAGAUAAUAUGCUUCAUUGGUGUUGUGUUUUGAAGUGUGAAAUGCAAAGUAAUUGUGAUAGUUAAAUGCAAGAUAAAGUUCACUUUUAAACUGAACUAAAUAAGGUAUCUGAGAGACAGCAAUGGUUAAAUGCAAUACAAUGUACAGGUUUUACUAGCGAAAUGAAAAUUUUCCUGUCCUGUCUGCUGUAAUCAUUUUAUAUCUGGAAAACCAGCCGACUUAAUCGAUAAUAACAAUCUCCAGAUUGGGUUCCUUCAAUAAAUAUGGUCUAUAAACACAAUGAAAUAAGUUCCCCAAACUCUAAAAUGGAGUGGUAUUAAAGGAGAAUUAAAGGGAAAAAUAUUCAUAUUGAAAUUAUUUAUAAGGCACUGGACUGUCUUAAAUUCUACAAUAAUACUAGAAUCAGCUGAGAGAAGUGGUCUACAAAAAACCAUGAAGGAAACGGAAUAUGUGGCUACGAAAGGCAAAAGAAAGGUUUACAAAGCAAAUGUGACACAUCUUUUUGAAAUAUUUAGGAAUAUCAGUAAAUUGCAUUGAAAAAAUGUAUGAAAAGAUUUUGUUCAAUAAAAAUGUUUAUAUUUA